CACGUAGGGACCAAGCGUUGUCCGGAUUCAUUGGGCGUAAAGAGCUCGUAGGCGGUUCGAUAAGUCGGGUGUGAAACCUCCAGGCUCAACCUGGAGACGCCACCCGAUACUGUCGUGACUAGAGUCCAGUAGGGGAGCGUGGAAUUCCUGGUGUAGCGGUGAAAUGCGCAGAUAUCAGGAGGAACACCGGUGGCGAAGGCGGGUCUCUGGGCCGAUACUGACGCUGAGGAGCGAAAGCGUGGGGAGCGAACAGG
rnacentral:rRNA from 1 species